UCCUCAGCCCUGCUUCACUGUAACUUUAGUCACAGACAGACGGCUGUGGGGUCAGACAGGUAGGGCUUGUUCUCGUGGGAAAACAGAGCAAACCGGCCGAGAUCAGACAUAAAGAACCGAGUGAGAAGCUCCAGAGAUCAGCUAUGAGUUCUCUUCCACCAUCCAGGAGGUCUUCAGGAGUCCUUCGUGUAAGCUUUGAUUCCACUGUGAACAAGAACCCAAGUUAUGAGCGCAAGGAAUUGGAAAGACACACUGAAGAUCUACAUCUGGAAGAACCGCCGCAGCACCUCAACAGUACAACUACUCCGUGUAUACUGGUAUUUCAAAUUUCAAACAAAAAAGGAAAAACAUAC
rnacentral:lncRNA from 1 species